rnacentral:rRNA from 1 species
AUACGUAGGGUGCAAGCGUUAAUCGGAAUUACUGGGCGUAAAGCGUGCGCAGGCGGUUUUGUAAGACAGAGGUGAAAUCCCCGGGCUCAACCUGGGAACUGCCUUUGGGACUGCAAGGCUAGAGUACGGCAGAGGGGGAUGGAAUUCCGCGUGUAGCAGUGAAAUGCGUAGAUAUGCGGAGGAACACCGAUGGCGAAGGCAAUCCCCUGGGCAUGUACUGACGCUCAUGCACGAAAGCGUGGGGAGCAAACAGGAUUAGAUCCCCUGGUAUUCCACGCCCUAAACGAUGUCAACUGGUUGUUGGGUCUUCAUUGACUCAGUAACGAAGCUAACGCGUGAAGUUGACCGCCUGGGGAGUACGGCCGCAAGGUUUAAACUCAAAGGAAUUGACGGGG